AUGAAUUUGUACAGGUACCCAAAUGAAUCCCAAAACGGUUUCCGUCGAUAUCACAAGUUUACUCAUUGGACUGUACAUCCUAGAGUAAAAGAGGAAGUGGAAAAAACUUGUUUCAAAUAUUUUAUGAGAUUCUCCGAGAGUAAAGUUAACAUGUCUAACAAAAUGAUCGCCGCUUUACUUCGCUUUUAUGAAAACGUCGAAGAACACUUUGUGUUUAGGAUACUAAAAUUGAUCUUGGUCUUGAAGAUGUAA